UGGGAAAAGUGGUACUAAGCGGCAGUAAACUCAACCUCCACCCCCGUGGCCAAAAACCAAGUAGAACGGGGGCUGAACACUUCCUAGGGAUCCCUGACUGGGACAGAAGAGCAAGAGAGUGAAUGAGGGGGCUUAGCCAAUGUUUUCAGUCACGUCAGGAAGUGGGAGGUGCAUGGUGGAUGAUCAAGAGUGAGUCACAAGAGAGUUUCUCAAAGGGACUCUGGGAUAGGGAAGUUGUACUUGUGGGGCGGAGAUAAGAGUCCUGAGUUGGGGUGGGGGAUGAAUGGGGGAGCUGGGGAAGAGAAUGAAAAGGAAAAGGCACAGGGAGAGUGAGCAGAUGAAAAUACCCUGAAAAGCGAGGGGGAAGAAGGGAGGGGGGAGGAGUGGGCGCCCAGAGGCAAUGGAAGGUCUUAGACGGGCUGUAGAGAGGUAAAAGAAAGCUGACCAAAAUCCAAGGCCAGGAGGAUUCUGCUCUCCAACAGGCUUGGAAAAGGUACAGCCUCGUCAGCUGUUUCUUACCAGAAAACACAUGAAACAGCAAUUGGGAGCCAAAGAAGACUCUUCAGGACAUUUUUUAUUCUCUCCGCCACUCGCUUUCAAUUUGCAAUCAAGGGCAUGGAGGUGAAGAGAGAUUCUGGAUUAUUAGAUUAGUGUAAUUCAUCUGGAUUAUUAGAAAAGUGUAAUUAACAGGUCUUCACAUCAUAAGGGCAAACUGGUGUUUACACAUAGAGAAGGCAGGAGGGUGUAGGAGUCAAAUCGGGCAAGAAUGCCUAAGUUCAAAGCCCAGUUCUAAAGUCUGAUUGUAAACAACUUACUCGGACUCUGUUGCUAUUUCCUUAUUGAUAAAGAGAGAUAGGGGAAAGGAGAAGAUAAUUAAUAACCCAUUUUAUAAGUUUGUCUUUCCCUAUCUCAUCCUGCCCUCCAUCUCUCAUCUGGGACAACCUCAAGAUUAUUUCCAUCCACUGGAAUAAUUUCCUUCCCUCAAGGUUCAAAUGCCAGCUCCUCCAUGAAGCCUCCUUGCAUUCCCAACUCUUAACGUCUGAAAUUGUGUUAUAACUCCCUUCUCAAAUUUUGCUCCUAAUACAGUAUCUGGGCCUCUC